rnacentral:rRNA from 1 species
GAUGAACGCUGGCGGCGUGCCUAAUACAUGCAAGUCGAGCGAACAGACGAGGAGCUUGCUCCUCUGACGUUAGCGGCGGACGGGUGAGUAACACGUGGAUAACCUACCUAUAAGACUGGGAUAACUUCGGGAAACCGGAGCUAAUACCGGAUAAUAUAUUGAACCGCAUGGUUCAAUAGUGAAAGACGGUUUUGCUGUCACUUAUAGAUGGAUCCGCGCCGCAUUAGCUAGUUGGUAAGGUAACGGCUUACCAAGGCAACGAUGCGUAUCCGACCUGAGAGGGUGAUCGGCCACACUGAAACUGAGACACGGUCCAGACUCCUACGGGAGGCAGCAGUAGGGAAUCUUCCUCAUUGGGCGAAAGCCUGACGGAGCAACGCCGCGUGAGUGAUGAAGGUCUUCGGAUCGUAAAACUCUGUUAUUAGGGAAGAACAAAUGUGUAAGUAACUAUGCACGUCUUGACGGUACCUAAUCAGAAAGCCACGGCUAACUACGUG